rnacentral:misc_RNA from 1 species
UGAAGGCUGAAAUUGUAUCACCAAAUGAAUGGCAAAGGUGGAUACUUGAUCAACAAAAAUCUGAAGGCGUUAACCCUGGUGAUGAUGUGUACAUAAUUCUGCGUUUAGAUGGUCGAGUUCGAAGAUCUGGAAAGGGGAUGCCAGAUUGGCAACAGAUUUUGAAAGAACUGCCCCCAUUGGAGGAUAUUCUCAGCAAACUAGAAACAUAGAUAAUGUGUACUGG